rnacentral:rRNA from 1 species
ACACAUGCAAGUCGAACGAGAAUCUUUGGAAUGAUUCUUUCGGGAUGAAUUCCAAAGAGGAAAGUGGCGGACGGGCGAGUAACGCGUGAGUAACCUGCCCAUAAGAGGGGGAUAAUCCAUGGAAACGUGGACUAAUACCGCAUAUUGUAGUUAAGUUGCAUGACUUGAUUAUGAAAGAUUUAUCGCUUAUGGAUGGACUCGCGUCAGAUUAGAUAGUUGGUGAGGUAACGGCUCACCAAGUCAACGAUCUGUAGCCGAACUGAGAGGUUGAUCGGCCGCAUUGGGACUGAGACACGGCCCAGACUCCUACGGGAGGCAGCAGUGGGGAAUAUUGCGCAAUGGGGGCAACCCUGACGCAGCAACGCCGCGUGCAGGAAGAAGGUCUUCGGAUUGUAAACUGUUGUCGCAAGGGAAGAAGACAGUGACGGUACCUUGUGAGAAAGUCACGGCUAACUACGUGCCAGCAGCCGCGGUAAUACGUAGGUGACAAGCGUUGUCCGGAUUUACUGGGUGUAAAGGGCGCGUAGGCGGACUGUCAAGUCAGUCGUGAAAUACCGGGGCUUAACCCCGGGGCUGCGAUUGAAACUGACAGCCUUGAGUAUCGGAGAGGAAAGCGGAAUUCCUAGUGUAGCGGUGAAAUGCGUAGAUAUUAGGAGGAACACCAGUGGCGAAGGCGGCUUUCUGGACGACAACUGACGCUGAGGCGCGAAAGUGUGGGGAGCAAACAGGAUUAGAUACCCUGGUAGUCCACACCGUAAACGAUGGAUACUAGGUGUAGGAGGUAUCGACCCCUUCUGUGCCGCAGUUAACACAAUAAGUAUUCCACCUGGGGAGUACGAUCGCA